rnacentral:rRNA from 1 species
AUACGGAGGAUCCGAGCGUUAUCCGGAUUUAUUGGGUUUAAAGGGUGCGCAGGCGGGAGAUUAAGUCGGCGGUGAAAUUUUGCAGCUCAACUGUAAAAGUGCCUUCGAAACUGGUUUCCUUGAGUGUAGAUGAAGUAGGCGGAAUUUGUGGUGUAGCGGUGAAAUGCAUAGAUAUCACGAGGAACUCCGAUUGCGCAGGCAGCUUACUAAACUACUACUGACGCUCAGGCACGAAGGCGUGGGGAUCAAACAGGAUUAGAUACCCUGGUAGUCCACGCAGUAAACGAUGAUUACUAGCUGUUUGCGAUACAAUGUAAGCGGCUGAGCGAAAGCGUUACGUAAUCCACCUGGGGAGUACGUUCGCAAGAAUGAAACUCAAAGGAAUUGACGGGG